AUUGAACGCUGGCGGCAGGCCUAACACAUGCAAGUCGAGCGGAUGAAGGGAGCUUGCUCCUGGAUUCAGCGGCGGACGGGUGAGUAAUGCCUAGGAAUCUGCCUGGUAGUGGGGGAUAACGUCCGGAAACGGGCGCUAAUACCGCAUACGUCCUGAGGGAGAAAGUGGGGGAUCUUCGGACCUCACGCUAUCAGAUGAGCCUAGGUCGGAUUAGCUAGUUGGUGGGGUAAAGGCCUACCAAGGCGACGAUCCGUAACUGGUCUGGGAGGAUGAUCAGUCACACUGGAACUGAGACACGGUCCAGACUCCUACGGGAGGCAGCAGUGGGGAAUAUUGGACAAUGGGCGAAUGCCUGAUCCAGCCAUGCCGCGUGUGUGAAGAAGGUCUUCGGAUUGUAAAGCACUUUAAGUUGGGAGGAAGGGCAGUAAGUUAAUACCUUGCUGUUUUGACGUUACCAACAGAAUAAGCACCGGCUAACUUCGUG
rnacentral:rRNA from 1 species